UGUGGGGCCCAGUACAGGCCUGCUCGAUUGGAAAGCCCAUGGAGGAGUGGGCACCAUGGUGGUGGAGAUUCCAGCUCCCUCAGUGAUUUCCUUCCUGGAGUGGAGAUCAAAGAUGGAAACGGCCCAGGAGGUUUCCUGCCCUGGUAGCCACGAGAAUGCUGUAGUUACAGAGAAGUACGUGGCUGAGUCGAGGGAGGUGGUGUCUCAUGUGCAGCUGGCCUGCGGCCCACUAUACUGUGCCUUCCCCCUGGAUGGGAACCAGCUUUGCCUGUGGAGCAUCAGGGACCCUUAUCACCAGCUUCUAAUCUUACAAGGACACCUUCAGGCAAUCACUGCUAUGGCUUUUGGAAAUAAAGAGAAUCCACCUCUACUCUGUUCUGCAUCACAGGAUCAUCUUAGGAUAUGGAACUUGGAUGAAUGCAGAGGGAAUACUCUUAAAGGGCUGGUUCCUCGAAGGACAGUCAUGGGUACCCUUUUGGAAAAAGUGCUGUAUUUAAGAUUCAGUCCCGAUGACCGUGUUGUUGCAGCAUGUGCUGGCAGCAGAGUGUUGGUGCUGGACGUGGAGAGUUCAUCUGUGCUGAUAGAACUGGAGGGCCAUCAGGGCCCAGUGACGGCUGCAGAAUUUUGUCCCUGGAAAGGACAAAUGCUCAUUUCAGUGUCUGAAGACAGGAGCUUUAAGGUCUGGGACCAUCGUAUGGGAACAUUAACGUACAGCUCACCUGUUUUAACAGCGUAUCCUCUCCUGAGUUUAUUCAUUGAUGAGGACAGUAAGCAGCUUCUCACAGGGUGUGCUGAUGGCCAGCUUUGGGUCUUCAGUUUGAUAGAAAGGCAUCAUUACCGUUGUGUGGCACAUGUAGACCUGAGGAAGAAAAACAAGGCUUUCUCCACCCGAAGGAUGGCGUCUGGGGUGUGCAGCCUACCAGAGGACAGUCAGCGCCCCUCUAGGAAGACGCUGGACCAAGGAGAAGAGGCCGAAGCAGCCUUCCCCGUCCUGAUGCUGGCAAGCUGCUACCUUCCAAGCCUUCUGGGUUCUGGAUGUGGAGUCCUUUCUUCUGAGAAUACCAGGUGCUUGUGGAUUGGAAGUUCAACUGGCUUAUUCAUAUUUAACUUGGCAAGCUUUGAAUUGGAAGACGCAAUCCAUUUCAAAGACUUCAGGCGCCUCAGCGUUCAGGUUGCCGGAUCCUGCGCGGUGAUGAGCCGGGCUGCCGACCUCAAGGCAUUUUGCUUGCUCACAUCCAUGUUUGGGAGGAGGAUUGCCAUACUGGAAAUCAGCCUGGCCCCUCUGGUGAAGUCUCGGCAGAUCCCUGGCACUGGGAAGGCACUGUCGGUGCUGGCGAGCUCCUGUGUCCUACCAACUUCUCCCCUGUACUUUGGAAUUGUUAAGGGGAAAGGUACUAAACCUGCUGGUCAAAAACAAUCUGUUGUGAAGAGUGUUAUAGGGGACCAACCCUUGGUUUUCCACACCAAAGUCAGAUCAUCUGGUUAUGCAUCAGCACCACAUUUAACUAUGUUUUCACCAAAGACUAACUUCAAGAAUGAUGGUAAAAGAUCUUCAAAAUGCAGGAUUAAUCACAAGUGUGAGGAGUACCCUUUGGAGAGUCCUGUGCCAAGUAAACUCAGGAAGCAGAUUGCUGUGUGUCAGGAGCCUACCGCUGUGAACUGUGUCCAGUACUCAGGAGACGGACGGCGCUUAGCCUGUGGCUUAGCCAACCAUCUCUCCCUGGUCUUUGAUGCCAGCCUUACUGGAACACCUGCUGCCUUUUCAGGUCACGAUGGAGCUGUGAGCACCGUCUGCUGGAGCCAUGACAGGAGGUGGCUGCUCUCCACGGCCCAGGACCAGACCCUGCGGCUGUGGUCGGCUCGUAGGAGGGAGCUCCUGCUGCUUCUGGGCAGAGGCAGGCGUUCCAAGCCAGUGCAGUCGGCACAGUUCUACUACAUGGAUGCCUUCAUCCUCCUCUCUUCUGGGCAGGAACUCCAGCUACUUGAGUAUCAUGUUGACACCAGCAGAGAUGAGAUAAAAAGGUAUGAACCCAGGAGCAGGUGCGAGUGUGUCUUCAGGAUGUCCAUGAGGGGGGCCACGGCCGUGACCAGCUUGUCAGCGGUGAACGACUUUCAUUCCUACGUGGUCCUUGUGGCUGGCCGCAACAGGACUUUACAAGUUUUCGACCUCAACACCGGCUGUAAUGCUGCAGUGAUAGCAGAAGCCCAUUCACGGCCUAUCCAUCAAAUUUGUCAAAAUAAAGGAUCGUCAUUCACAGCCCAACAGUCCCAGGCCUAUAAUCUCUUCCUGACUACAGCCAUUGGAGAUGGGGUCAGACUGUGGGACCUGAGGACCCUGAGGUGUGAGCGCAGUUUUGAAGGACAUCCAAACCGCAGCUAUCCUUGUGGAAUUGCUUUUAGUCCCUGCGGACGGUUCGUGGCCUGUGGAGCUGAGGACAGACAUAUGUCACCUGCGAAGAGGAGAGCCUCACCUGAUGGAGUCCAGGCCCCGCUCAUCCCACUGAGGCUGCUGCGCCCCUCCGGUGGCCCUGGUUUCGCCCUCCACAAUCAGGAAGCAGGAAGGUCUCAGACGUGUCUGAGGAGGUCCAGAAGGCGCGUGGUGGCCCCACGAAAUUGGCUGGAGGCAAACAGGGCUUGUGGUGGGCAAGGCUCUGGUGCUUCUGGUGCUUCUGGAGCGAGCGGGUGGCUGGGGAGAGCAGGGUCCUCCCGGAGCAGACAGGGCUCCCGUGCUCCAGGUCGACGCUGGGAGCAGGUGAUCCCUUGGUUCUGAGUGACUUUCUGAAAACACGCACGGCCUGUGGAGGCUUCCUUGUGUGCCCAGGUGACAGAGUGUGAUGUCAGCUCAGCACAUGUUGCCCCCGGUCUCCUGAGACCCGUCCUGGAUCUGAGCUCAUGUCCUGCGGCAGCCUGCAGAGGUCACAGGUGCCAUCACUUGCUUCUUGUAGGACCUUGCUUUUGUUUCUGUGGUCCCACGUGAAAGGGGUGGUGCUUGUGGUGCAAACUGAUCCACAAGGACUCUGGGCAGCUCUGCCUGGCCUGCUGGGGGCAGCCCCAGGUUCUCACCCAGGAGGACCUGUGAGGCCGCUGCCAUCAGGCACUGCACCUGGUCCAGGAGGACCUGGGAGGCCGCUGCCAUCAGGCACUGCACAUGACUGAGGAGGACCUGGGAGGCCGCUGCCAUCAGGCACUGCACAUGACUGAGGAGGACCUGGGAGGCCGCUGCCAUCAGGCACUGCACGUGACUGAGGAGGACCUGGGAGGCUGCGGCCAUCAGGCACUACACGUGACUGAGGAGGACCUGGGAGGCCGCUGCCAUCAGGCACUACACGUGACUGAGGAGGACCUGGGAGGCCGCUGCCAUCAGGCACUGCACGUGACUGAGGAGGACCUGGGAGGCUGCGGCCAUCAGGCACUGCACGUGACUGAGGAGGACCUGGGAGGCUGCGGCCAUCAGGCACUACACGUGACUGAGGAGGACCUGGGAGGCCGCUGCCAUCAGGCACUGCACGUGACUGAGGAGGACCUGGGAGGCCGCUGCCAUCAGGCACUGCACGUGACCGAGGAGGAUCUGCUGCCAUCAGCAUAUUCAGGGAAGCAGGAGAAUGUGGGACAACCAGCUAAGGAGGACAAUGACCACAUAAUGGAAAUCUGCAAAGCUAGUAAGCUGCAGUUCUGGAAAUUAAAGCCAUGCCAACCAAAAGUGAUAGUCAAAGUUAAAGGUCAAAAGCAGGAAACCGAGGAACAAACCUGAGGUGAGAGUCCAUCUACGAGGACUCAGUAUGGGAAGCAUCACCAGAAACAUCAGGGGACAUCCAUGACCUGAGAGAUAAAGUCCUCACAGAAGGGUGUCACCUGCCUCUGUGCCCCAGGUAGCAUAGAGUCAGCACGUCCAUAGCAAAAUGGUAGGAUUCUGAGAAUAGGAAGAAGCUUUAGUCUUAAGAACUCCUGGGACCUCUUUCUUGGUGGCUAGAAGCAACUUGUUGAUGGUUGCAACACUUUUAAAAUCUUUUUAUUCUUGAACGUCAUGAAGAAGGUGGCCAUGUCCUUCCCGUGCAUGUGAUCCUUCUUGGGAAGAGAGUCCUCCUGUGUACAUGGUCCUUCCUGGGCAGAGAGUCCUCCUGGGCAUAGGGUCCCCCUGGGCACAUGGUAAUUCCUAGGCACACAGUCCUUCCUAUGCACAGGGUCCUUCCUGGGCACUUAGUCUUCCUAGGCAUAUGGUCCUUCCUGGGCACUUGGUCUUCCUAGAUACAUGGUCCUUCCAAGGCAUGCAGUCCUUCCUGUGCACAGGGUCCUUCCUGGGCACUUGGUCUUCCUGGGCACACCUUCCUCUGCAUGUGGUCCUUGGUAGUGCCUGCGGAUGGCAUCUGCUUCCAUUGCUCUCUUGCUCUGCAUGCCACGUGCAUGGUAGGCCUUUCUGUAACACAAAAAGGUGCAGAUGAACCCCCAACAUUUUCACAGGCAACCAGCUUGUGGUUUUUGAAAAGAUGGAAUGAAUGAUGUAUUUGGAAGUUAGCAGAAAGACAUUGAGAAAAUGCAUAGCACUUCAACAGCUGAAGGAGAAACAGCGAGCACGGAGACGGAUGGUGAACACUGGAGAUGUGGGCUGGCAGCCAAGGGCUUAGGGAAAACCUGCACUCUGAGGCCUGAGUCCGAGUGGAUGCUGGGGAGCCGGGGAGUGCAGCAGUGGAGAUGCCCUGAAGGCCAGCCCGGGACACAGGGAGGAGCGUCCCAGAGGGAGGGCACAUGUGGAAUCCCUGGCAUACUUGUGAAAGGCAUCUUGACAGAACUGGUAUUUAAAAUUGUCAUUCAGCUGUACUUCUCCUGAACUUGAAAUUGCUUGAACAAAUCUGCAGGUUUAGUGAGCACCUGGGAAGACUGACUCCUAGUGGUCAGCUCAGAAACACGGUUUACGAAAACUGGGUGACUGAUGUCCACACAAAUACAGCUCAUGGGUCCAGCCGAGCCAAGCAGAUGCUGCCGGGAACAUCAGCCCGGUGAGAGUUCUCCAGGGCCUUAUAUACGUAACAAUCUAUGGGAGGAAUGUAUUGGAGGCCAGGCCAGGAUUGUAUAUCCAGCUACCUGAUCUUUGAGACGGAUGCCUUUGUAAGCAUGCAGACAGAAUUAACAGUGCUCCCCAAGUCACUCCUGAAGAAAAGGAUCCAGAAAACCCAGUUAAGACCACAGAAACCUAAAUGAAACCCUGAAGGCAAGCAGUGGAUAUGUUGAACAACUUGGCUAAGACUAGAAGGUAGAGGCCUGUAUUGAUGCUGGAGCUGGUGAUCCUCAUGGCUCAGACUAGAAGGGGGAGGCCUGUAUUGAUGCUGGAGCUGAGAACUACCUGCUAAUGCUGGAAGGCUUACGUUUAUGACCUGGGCUGCAGCACAUUUUCCCACCGGCUGGCGGGACAUGCAGACACCGUCUCUGGAGUGGCCUUCAACCCAGCGUCUCCCCAGCUCGCCACAGCCACCGUGGAUGGGAAACUGCAGCUCUUCA